rnacentral:tRNA from 1 species
UUAAAGGUAGACUAAGGGUAAGAAGUUGUUAGAUUCAUAAUCUAAAGAUAAAAAUUUUUUUUUCUUUAAA